GCUGAGACCUCUCCCGCUCAUUUCAUAACCCUUCCCCCAAAUCCAGAGCAGUGACCAUGGAGGGAAGUGAGAGCGUGGCCGUCUUCGAUGCUUGCGAUCUUAACCAAUAGCGCUUCAUCAAUGAGGUCCUCAACGCUGCCGUUCUGCCUCCAGCAGGCUUCAAUCAUCACGGUGUGUGGGGAGAAGCAAUCUGAUGAGCUUGCCAAGGUAUAAAGUCCUCGGCUUUGUCCGCAUUAUUCAUUGAUGUUGUGGUUUUAUGGAUGAUUUAGUGUUUUGUUGGUGAUUGUCUGAAAUUGUUGGAAAAAGCUAUGAAGUUGCUGUGAUUGAAGAAGCUGAUGCAUCUUAAUGGAAUUAAAUGUUUAUUGAA